GAUACUCUAACAAUGUCUGAAGCUCUGUCACUUGGGUGCUGAAUCCUUUUCUAUACUUUCUCAAUACUGGUCAGGAUUUUACGGUGUUGUCUAGGAGAGAGCAACCAUGAUGGGCAUGCAAUGCUCAAGUUCACAGAAAAACAUGAAUAGCAAGACUCAAAUCUGGCUGCCAGAUUUCUGCAAGGUAUUUUUCUCUCCAAACGAGGUAAUGUGUUUCUUAUAACAGUCUUUAUAAUAAGGAGAUGUGUGUGGAAAAAAAUCAAGUGUUAAACGGAGUCAUGCAA